rnacentral:rRNA from 1 species
UACAGAGGUCUCAAGCGUUGUUCGGAUUCAUUGGGCGUAAAGGGUGCGUAGGCGGCGCCGUAAGUCAGGUGUGAAAUCUCGGGGCUCAACCCCGAAACUGCACUUGAUACUGCGGUGCUAGAGGACUCGAGAGGAGAUUGGAAUUCACGGUGUAGCAGUGAAAUGCGUAGAUAUCGUGAGGAAGACCAGUGGCGAAGGCGGGUCUCUGGACAGUUCCUGACACUGAGACACGAAGGCCAGGGGAGCAAACGGG